CAGCCGCCGCGGGAAUACGUAGGUCCCGAGCGUUGUCCGGAUUUAUUGGGCGUAAAGCGAGCGCAGGCGGUUAGAUAAGUCUGAAGUUAAAGGCUGUGGCUUAACCAUAGUACGCUUUGGAAACUGUUUAACUUGAGUGCAAGAGGGGAGGGUGGAAUUCCAUGUGUAGCGGUGAAAUGCGUAGAUAUAUGGAGGAACACCGGUGGCGAAAGCGGCUCUCUGGCUUGUAACUGACGCUGAGGCUCGAAAGCGUGGGGAGCAAACAGGAUUAGAUACCCCAGUAGUCCCUGUCUCUUAUACA
rnacentral:rRNA from 1 species